GUCCGUGACGGCUCCUGCAGAGCUGGGCUGCCCAGAAGGCAGAGAGCAGCAGCUCAACGCACUUCUGCAGACCCAUUAUACCCACUUUUAAUUACAUGCAGAUUAAGGGGCAGUUUAUGCAGAAAUUUCUGGGGAAGGAGUAGUCACUUCUGGGUCACUGAGUCAUUGCCAUGGAAAGGGGUGGGAGUGUUGCCAUGGCGAUGGUAAACUGACACAGAACACUGGUGGGUGUGUCUUUUUUUUCUUUUCCUGAGACGGAGUCUCCCUCUGUCACCCACAUUAGAGUGCAGUGGCCUGAUCUCGGCUCACCACAACCUCUGUCUCCUGGGCUCAAGCAAUUCUUCUGCUUCAAUCUCCUGAGUAGCUGGGGCUGCAGGCAUGGGACAUCAUGCCUGGCUAAUUUUUGUAUUUUUAGUAGAGACAGGGUUUCACCAUGUUGGCCAGGCUGGUCUCAAACUCCUGACCUCUGGUGAUCUGCCUGCCUGGGCUCCCAAAGUGCUGGGAUUACAGGCAUGAGCCACUGCGCCCAGUCUGGUGUGUCUUAUAAAAAGCUGCUUCUGCCCUGCCCUGUUUUAGCCAGUCCUGUUUGGUCCCAGCUCCAAGCCCUGCCUCUGGAGUCAAGUCCUGCCUCCUAUCUCAAUUGUAAUAAAUGUUCUGCACCAGUGCAGGGUGUUAAUAAGAGGGGAGAUGGGCAGGGGUGCUGGGGGUACAGGGGAACUCUGCUCAUUUUUCUUUUUUUUUUUUGAGAUGGAGUCUCACUCUGUUGCCCACCCUGGAGUGCAGUAGCGCAAUCUCGGCUCACUGCAAGCUCCACCUCCCAGGUUCACGCCAUUCUCCUCAGCCUCCCGAGUAGCUAGGACUACAGGCGCCCAUCACCACGCCUGGCUAAUUUUUGUGUAUUUUUUAGUGGAGACGGGGUUUCACCAUGUUAGCCAGGAUGGUCUCGAUCUCCUGACCUCGUGAUCCACCCGCCUCAGCCUCCCAAAGUGCUGGGAUUACAGGCGUGAGCCACUGUGCCUGGCCUCUCAUUUUUCUUUAAACCUAAAACUGGUCUAAAAAAUUAAUUUCAUAUUUUUUUUUUCACAAGAAUGUGGAGCAACUAGAAUCACGUACUCUGCUGCUGGGAGUGUGACUAGUGCCCUUAUUAAGAAAAAGUCAAGAAACAUUGGUAUGAAUAUUACUGGAGAUCGGGAAAAUGCCGGAAGAGACCAUGAAAAGAGUUAAAACUUGUUGCCAAUUGGGGGUGGAAACUGGGAGGGAAGAGGCAGGAAGCUAGUUUUAAAAAUCAACUUUAGGCCAGGUGUGGUGGCUCAUGCCUGUAAUCCCAGCACUUUGGGAGGCCGAGGCAGGUAGAUAACCUGAGGUCAGGUGUUCGAGACCAGCCUAGUCAACAUGGUGAAACCUUGUCUCUACUAAAAAUACAAAAAUUAGCCGGGUGUGGUGGCGGGCACCUGCAAUCGUAGCUACUCGGGAGGCUGAGGCAGGGGAAUCACUUGAACCCAAAAGGUAGAGGUUGCAGUGAUCCAAGAUUGCGCCACUGCCCUCCAGCCUGGGCGACAAUAGCAAAACUCUGUCUCAAAACGACAACAAAAAACAACAAAAAAACCCCAACUUUAUUGAGUUGGGGUUUGCCAAAAUGAACACUUUUUUUUUUUUUUUUGAGACGGAGUCUUGCACUGUUGCCCAGGCUGGAGUGCAGUGGCGCAAUCUCGGCUCACUGCAACUUCUGCCUCCUGGGUUCCAUCGAUUCUCCUGCCUCAGCCUCCUGAGUAGCUGGGACUACAGGGGUGCGCCACCACGCCUGGCUAAUUUUUGUAUUUUUUAAUAGAGACGAGGUUUCACCAUAUUGGCCUGACCUCGUGAUCCGCCUGCCUCGGCCUCCCAAAGUGCUGGGAUUAUAGGUGUGAGCCACAACGCCCAGCCCAAAAUGCACACUUGUAAGUGUGCAGUUUGAUGAGUUUUCACAAAGUGUGCAUCCACACAGGCCCACCUCGCUAGCAGAGCCCUGUGACAAUGACUCAGCCCUUAGAGCACCUGCUAGGAGAGAAGAGUUGGAGGCAGGAACUUCUUCCAGUUGCCUUAUGUGCAGAGAAGGAGGCCGAGGCCCAGAGAUCACUUGUCCAAGACCACCCCUGGCUUAGCCAGAGCCCACACUGAAACCCAGCGUUCUCAGCUCUUUUCUUGGCAUUGUGCAAAGCCGCUUGCAAAGAAAGUAGUGACUGCCCCAUUGAAGAACAAGGGGAAGCAAUGCAGGCUUUUGAGCAGGGGAGCAACAUGAAGAAAGUAGCAUGUUAUCAUUUUGAAGGCCUCCUAUAUCUGAACCACCUCUGAUUCUGUCGUCGCUAUUAAGUGCUUUUUCUCUUGGUUUUCAGUGAUCUAGUCCCUGCCUCUUUUUUUUUUGGAGACAGAGUCUUACUCAUCCCCCAGGCUGGAGUGUAGCGUAGCGGCACGAUCUUGGCUCACUGCAACCUCCGCCUCCCGGGUUCAAGUGAUUCUCCUGUCUCAGCCUCCCGAGUAGCUGAGACUACCGGCAUGUGCCACCAUGCCUGGCUAAUUUUUGUAUUUUUAGUAAAGACAGGGUUUCAUCAUGUUGGCCAGGUUGGUCUCAAACUCCCAACCUCAGGUGAUCCACCUGACUUGGCCUCCCAGUGUGCUGGGAUUACAGGUGUGAGCUGUCGUGCCCUGCCCUUCCCACAUUUUUGAGACGGGGUUUUGCAUGUGUUGCCCAGGCUGGAGUGCAGUGGUACAAUCAUGGUUCACUGCAGCCUCAAACUCUUGGGCUCAAGCGCUCCUCCCACCUCGGCCCUCAGAGCAGCUGGGAGUACAGGUGUGCACCACCAUGCCCAGCUAUUGUUUUCGUUUUUUGUAGAGAUGGGUUCCCAGUGUGUUACCCAAGCUGGUCUCAAACUCCUGCGCUCAAAUGAUUUUCCCACCUUGGCCUCCUAAAGUGCUGGGAUUAUGGGCAUCAGCACCAUGUCUGGUGAUCUGGUCCCUUCUUCUUUUUUUAUUUUUAUUUUAUUCUUUUUUGAGACAAGGUCUGACUCUGUUGCCCAAGCUGGAGUGCAGUGGCAUGAACAGGGCUCACUGCAGCCUCAACCCCCUGAGCUCAAGUGAUCCUCCCACCUCAGCCUCCCUCGUCCCUGGGAAUACAGGCAUGCACUCCCGGCUUCUGGUCCCUUCUAAGAGCAUGCCUUGUGCUAUGGUUUGAAUGUUUCUCCUAGACUUUAUGUGUUGGGAACUUAAUCUCCACAAUUAUAUGCUUUUGGAGGUAAUUAGGAUUGGAUAAGGUCAUCAGAGUGGGCCCCCAUGAUGGGACUAGUGGCCUCAUAACAAAAGAAACGGGCCGGGCGCGGUGGCCCACGCCUGUAAUCCCAGCACUUUGGGAGGCUGAGGUGGGCGGAGCACGAGGUCAGGAGUUGGAGACCAGCCUGGCCAAUAUGACAAAACCCCGUCUGUACUAAAAAUACAAAAAUUAGCCGGGCGUGGUGGCAGGUGCCUAUAAUCCCAGCUACUUGAGAGGCUGAGACAGGAGGCAGAGGUUGCAGUGACCCAAGAUGGUGCCACUGCACUCCAGCCUGGGUGACAAAGCGAGACUCCAUCUUGAAAGAAAAGAAGAGAAAGAGAGACUUGGGCUGGCGUGCUCUUGCCCAGCGCCAUGCUCUUGGACCUCCAGCCUUCAGAACUGUAAGAAACAAACCUCUCUUCUCUAUAAAUUACCCACUCUUAAGCUAUAGCAACAGGUAACAGACUAAGACACCUUGUAACUUUUCUUAUUCUUUUUUUUUGCUCUGCGAUUACAGGCAUGAGCCAUCGCGCCCAGGCCCCGUUACAUGCGUGUAUCACACAGCGAAGCGUGUGUGUCCAGCCUGUAUCCAUGUCUUCAGCGGGAGGCCGAGUGCCAUACCAGCGGUUCUGUCUGAAAGCAUUUUACGAAGGAUAGCCCUUGCUAUUUCCUCAAAGAGCCACCAGAGGGCACUCCCACUCCGCCCAGCCGCUGUUCCCGGGGGGAAGGGG
rnacentral:lncRNA from 10 species